UACGAAGGGGGCUAACGUUGUUCGGAAUUACUGGGCGUAAAGCGCACGUAGGCGGAUUGUUAAGUGAGGGGUGAAAUCCUGGAGCUCAACUCCAGAACUGCCUUUCAUACUGGCAAUCUAGAGUCCGGAAGAGGUAAGUGGAACUCCUAGUGUAGAGGUGGAAUUCGUAGAUAUUAGGAAGAACACCAGUGGCGAAGGCGGCUUACUGGUCCGGUACUGACGCUGAGGUGCGAAAGCGUGGGGAGCAAACAGG
rnacentral:rRNA from 1 species